CCUACGGGCGGCAGCAGUGGGGAAUAUUGGGCAAUGGGCGCAAGCCUGACCCAGCCACGCCGCGUGAAGGAAGAAGGCUCUCGGGUUGUAAACCUCUUUUGUCAGGGACGAAGCAAGUGACGGGACCUGCCGAUUAAGCCACGGCUAACUAGGUGAACGCAGCCGCGGUAAUACGGAAGGCCCGAGCGUAAGCCGGAUUCAUUGGGGUUAAAGGGGGCGUGGGCGGGCGUUCAAGUCAGCUGUAAAAUCACGCGGCUAAACAGCGCCCCGCAGUUGAAACUGGACGCCUUGAGUGCACGACAGGCAGGCGGAAUGCGUGGUGUAGCGGUGAAAUGCAUAGAUAUCACGAGGAACCCCGAUUGCGAAGGCAGCCUGCCGGGGUGCGACUGACGCUGAGGCUCGAAGGUGCGGGUAUCGAACAGGAUUAGAUACCCUAGUAGUC
rnacentral:rRNA from 1 species